GACGAACGCUGGCGGCGUGCUUAACACAUGCAAGUCGAACGGGAUUUAGUAGACAGAAGCCUCGGUGGAAGAUUACUAAUGAGAGUGGCGAACGGGUGAGUAACGCGUGAGCAACCUGCCUAUGACAGUGGGAUAGCCUCGGGAAACCGGGAUUAAUACCGCAUAAAAUCGUAGAAACACAUGUUUCAACGGUCAAAGAUUUAUCGGUCAUAGAUGGGCUCGCGUCUGAUUAGCUAGUUGGUGAGAUAACAGCCCACCAAGGCGACGAUCAGUAGCCGGUCUGAGAGGAUGAACGGCCACAUUGGAACUGAGACACGGUCCAAACUCCUACGGGAGGCAGCAGUGGGGAAUAUUGCACAAUGGGGGAAACCCUGAUGCAGCGACGCCGCGUGAACGAAGAAGGUAUUCGUAUCGUAAAGUUCUGUCCUAUGGGAAGAUAAUGACAGUACCAUA
rnacentral:rRNA from 1 species